GCUUUUUCUCCUUGUGCUUCUCCUGAAAAUAGCAUUUCUGUUAGAGCAAAACCAGAAUUGAAGGGGUAACAACUGGUGAAUAGAUGCAAGGAUAUUAACUACACCACUCAUCACAAUGAAUCUUAUUUCUAUUCCUAAAGUAGGAGACAGAUAAAUGCAACAUAAAGGUUAUGAGCAUACACAUUCUAACAGCACCAACAACACAUAAGAAAGUUGCUAAAAAUAAAUAUCAUGGUGAAGUGCACAAAGUUAAAAGUACAGCAAAUUGUUAUAAAUUACUAUAAUGCAUAUGUAAAAAUAAAUCAAGUUUUACAGGGGAAAACAGAUUUGGUUUCUGAGUCUUGGACCUUUUAAGAAGUACUACUGGAACCAUGAUCAUAUCCUCACAGACCUAGCUAACUUUGUAAGUGAUGGUCUGGGAUUGCACUUGUAAAUUAUCUACCAUGAGUAUAUUCUUUCGCAAAUAUAGAGAUUAACUAAAUUAAACUAAACUAAACUAAACCUUUAUUCUAAAAAUUUGGGGUCUGCUAUAUGGAUUCUCUUAAACAUAUUGAAUUCCACAUAAUUGAAAUGAAUGAAUUAUGGGUUCCAAACAAAAAGCUAUGGGAGACUAAAUUGAUUCCACAGAAGUUCAAAACUUAAGAAGAUCUAAAGAAUUUCUUGGUAACCAAUAGAUGACAUAAUUCUCAGAUAAUAUGCUUUAAGGUUUAAGGACAAGAUUUAUGAAAAUAUGCUUUUAUGUUGAAACCAAUCAACAAAACUCGGUUGAAAAGAAAUAACAAAACCAAGCUUACUGUACACUGUCCACAGUAACAUGACCUCUUUUAGCUUAACACAUUUCAAAGCAACAUCAAAAGCAAAAUUUUCAUAUCUAAAUUGUGUGCAAACAUGCUUCAAAAUUUUACGAAACCAUUGAAGAUUCUAAACCUUACACAUAUACUUCUUCAAGAUUCACAAUCACAGCCAACAUUUCAUCAACUCAACAAUUUUAAAAGCAGCUCCAAUGUUUUUCUCUGUUCCUUCAAAAUUAAAACAAUAACAUUUGCCAACUCAAAUUUUUACAAACCUCAACUUUACUAGCAUAAACCACCUACCAAAGGAUAACCACACUCCCCAAAAAUUUGGCAUCUAGAAGCAUGAACAACUAUCCAUCCCACCUCAACUCCCCAAUCAUCGACCCUCAAAAGGUCAUUUAAAUUUUAUUUAAGAAAAAAAUUGGGUUUUCAUAAGCAAGCAUGUCUUUACUUAGAGCACACCCAAGCAAAUGUGUUUUUGCUUGACAGAUAUGACUUGCUCAAGUUUAAAAAAACUAGCAACAAGCUAUUAGAGUGGCUGACUAAGUUUAGUCAUGGUGACAGAAGCAGGUUUCUUAUUACCUAAAUUGUAGCAAUCUUGAUAUUCUGGCAACAAUUACAAAUAGCAUAGCUAGAACCGGACAAGUGACAUGAUAUUACUUGCAAGAAAUUUGUCAUAAACCACAUACAGGGAAAGAGAGGAUCAGGAGAGGCGACGCGCUAACCUUGGCAACCAUGCGCUGGAAAGUGAUGUCUUCAUCAUCAAUUUUAUCCUUCCCUUUUCCCCAUUUCUUAUCUUUAGGAUCUGAAAGAUUGGUGUACUCCCGAACUUCUCUCCCUGCCAUUGCUAUUUAAUGUUCAACCAACAAAUGGAAAUAAGUAAUCAUAAAAGUUUAAUUUUUUUUAACAUAUAAAAUAAAUGAAUUAUAGCUCAUCA
rnacentral:misc_RNA from 1 species